GAUGAACGCUGGCGGCGUGCCUAAUACAUGCAAGUCGAGCGAACGGACGAGAAGCUUGCUUCUCUGAUGUUAGCGGCGGACGGGUGAGUAACACGUGGAUAACCUACCCAUAAGACUGGGAUAACUUCGGGAAACCGGAGCUAAUACCGGAUAAUAUUUUGAACCGCAUGGUUCAAAAGUGAAAGACGGUCUUGCUGUCACUUAUAGAUGGAUCCGCGCUGCAUUAGCUAGUUGGUAAGGUAACGGCUUACCAAGGCAACGAUGCAUAGCCGACCUGAGAGGGUGAUCGGCCACACUGGAACUGAGACACGGUCCAGACUCCUACGGGAGGCAGCAGUAGGGAAUCUUCCGCAAUGGGCGAAAGCCUGACGGAGCAACGCCGCGUGAGUGAUGAAGGUCUUCGGAUCGUAAAACUCUGUUAUUAGGGAAGAACAUAUGUGUAAGUAACUGUGCACAUCUUGACGGUACCUAAUCAGAAAGCCACGGCUAACUACGUGCCAGCAGCCGCGGUAAUACGUAGGUGGCAAGCGUUAUCCGGAAUUAUUGGGCGUAAAGCGCGCGUAGGCGGUUUUUUAAGUCUGAUGUGAAAGCCCACGGCUCAACCGUGGAGGGUCAUUGGAAACUGGAAAACUUGAGUGCAGAAGAGGAAAGUGGAAUUCCAUGUGUAGCGGUGAAAUGCGCAGAGAUAUGGAGGAACACCAGUGGCGAAGGCGACUUUCUGGUCUGUAACUGACGCUGAUGUGCGAAAGCGUGGGGAUCAAACAGGAUUAGAUACCCUGGUAGUCCACGCCGUAAACGAUGAGUGCUAAGUGUUAGGGGGUUUCCGCCCCUUAGUGCUGCAGCUAACGCAUUAAGCACUCCGCCUGGGGAGUACGACCGCAAGGUUGAAACUCAAAGGAAUUGACGGGGACCCGCACAAGCGGUGGAGCAUGUGGUUUAAUUCGAAGCAACGCGAAGAACCUUACCAAAUCUUGACAUCCUUUGACAACUCUAGAGAUAGAGCCUUCCCCUUCGGGGGACAAAGUGACAGGUGGUGCAUGGUUGUCGUCAGCUCGUGUCGUGAGAUGUUGGGUUAAGUCCCGCAACGAGCGCAACCCUUAAGCUUAGUUGCCAUCAUUAAGUUGGGCACUCUAAGUUGACUGCCGGUGACAAACCGGAGGAAGGUGGGGAUGACGUCAAAUCAUCAUGCCCCUUAUGAUUUGGGCUACACACGUGCUACAAUGGACAAUACAAAGGGCAGCGAAACCGCGAGGUCAAGCAAAUCCCAUAAAGUUGUUCUCAGUUCGGAUUGUAGUCUGCAACUCGACUACAUGAAGCUGGAAUCGCUAGUAAUCGUAGAUCAGCAUGCUACGGUGAAUACGUUCCCGGGUCU
rnacentral:rRNA from 1 species